GGGAAUGUAGCUCAAUGGAUCAGAGCAAGGAGUUUCUACCUCCUAGGUUGUGGGUUCAAGUCCUACCAUUCCUGCCA
rnacentral:tRNA from 1 species